rnacentral:lncRNA from 1 species
GUGUGCUUUUUUCUAUUUUUAUGAAUGUUGUAUCUGGUGUGUAUGUAUAGGUGAAGUGAGAAUGGGUAACAUACUGGAAAUUUAGGGAUGAUAGGAUAAAGAGAUAAUAACAAGUGUAGUGCAUUUGGUAGAGAAAUUUGGACUAUAGAGGUGUUGUAGUAUUGGAAGUUUGAGAGGAGGAUUGGUCUGUCAUUUGUUCUCUCAUAUGAGUGAUGACUGAAUAAAGAAGGGAAUUUGGGAUUAAAGAGACGUGUUGUGAA